UACGGGGGGCGAGCAGUGUUCGGCGAUUUACUGGGCGUAAAGAGCGCGCAGGCGGUCGAUCAAGUCGAGUGUGAAAGCCCCCGGCUCAACUGGGGAGGGUCAUUCGAAACUGGUCGACUCGAAGGCAGGAGAGGGUAGUGGAAUUCCCGGUGUAGCGGUGAAAUGCGUAGAUAUCUGGAGGAACAUCAGUGGCGAAGGCGACACCCUGGACUCAUACUGACACUGAGGUGCGAAAGCGUGGGGGAGCAAACAGG
rnacentral:rRNA from 1 species